rnacentral:rRNA from 1 species
UAGGGAAUUUUCGUCAAUGGGCGCAAGCCUGAACGAGUAAUGCCGCGUGAACGAGGAAGGUCUUCGGAUCGUAAAGUUCUGUUGAAGGGGAAAAAGAGCGGAGAGAGGAAAUGCUUUCUGAUUGAUAUUACCCUUCGAGGAAGUCACGGCUAACUACGUGCC